GUGUGUGUGUGUGUGUGUGUGUGUGUGUCUGUGUCCCCACAAGGUCAGUUAUACAUGACUGUGUGUGUGUGUGUGUGUGUGUGUGUGUGUGUCUGUGUCCCCACAAGGUUAGUUAUACAUGACUGUGUGUGUGUGUGUGUGUGUGUGUGUGUGUGUGUGUGUGUCCCCACAAGGUUAGUUAUACAUGACUGUGUGUGUGUGUGUGUGUCCCCACAAGGUUAGUUAUACAUGACUGUGUGUGUGUGUGUGUGACUCACUUGGGCAGCAGCGUGUCCUCCUGUAGAUCAGACCCAGGACCGUGGUGAAUACGGUCAGCACGACCACAACUACCAGGACCAACCACGCCACGCUGAAAACACACAGC
rnacentral:lncRNA from 1 species